CCUACGGGUGGCUGCAGUCGAGAAUCAUUCACAAUGGGGGAAACCCUGAUGGUGCGACGCCGCGUGGGGGAAUGAAGGUCUUCGGAUUGUAAACCCCUGUCAUGUGGGAGCAAAUUAAAAAGAUAGUACCACAAGAGGAAGAGACGGCUAACUCUGUGCCAGCAGCCGCGGUCAUACGUAGGAUCCGAGCAUUAUCCGGAGUGACUGGGUGUAAAGAGUUGCGUAGGUGGCAUACUAAGUAGCUAGUGAAAUCUGGUGGCUCAACCAUUCAGACUGUUAGCUAAACUGUUAAGCUCGAGAGCAUGAGGGGUAAGUGGAAUUUCUAGUGUAGGAGUGAAAUGCGUAGAUAUUAGAAGGAACACCAAUAGCGUAGGCAGGUUACUGGGACGGUUCUGACACUAAGGCACGAAAGCGUAGGGAGCAAACGGGAUUAGAUACCCCAGUAGUC
rnacentral:rRNA from 1 species